CACGCCCUUAUGGCAAUCUGAUU
rnacentral:piRNA from 1 species